rnacentral:rRNA from 1 species
GUGCGCCUACGGGACGCAGCAGUGAGGAAUAUUGGUCAAUGGGCGCGAGCCUGAACCAGCCAAGCCGCGUGAGGGAGGAAGGUACAGAGUAUCGUAAACCUCUUUUGUCAGGGAACAAAGGCGGGGACGUGUCCCCGGAUGAGUGUACCUGAAGAAAAAGCAUCGGCUAACUCCGUGCCAGCAGCCGCGGUAAUACGGAGGAUGCGAGCGUUAUCCGGAUUUAUUGGGUUUAAAGGGUGCGCAGGCGGUCUGUUAAGUCAGCGGUCAAAGCCCGGGGCUCAACCCCGGCCCGCCGUUGAAACUGG